UGCAUGUUUAUAAUUGAAGAUGACGGAGGGUAGCCCAACCCCUAUGUUAUCGGAUUUUACAUGGGUUUAUUAUUAGGCUUAGUUUAUAUUAUUUUGUUGUACAAUUUUAAUUAGUGGGCUAUUGAUUGUGCAUCAAAAGUAUCAUUAAGUCUCUUAUUUUACAUAUGUAUUUAUUGUUUUUAUUUGGGUUUUUUAUAAUAAUUGAUGUGCUUUUUAGUAAUGAAGUUUCUUUUAAUGUAUCGAUAGGUUGUUGGAGCUUAAAUGAAUUAUUUCAGAAAAUUUAACGUCGGAAUUCGGAACAAAGAAUUGAAGAGAAAUUUAGUUGAAGAUUGAAGCAAAUCUUGGUUCAAAUAAGUGCUCCAAAUUUGCCCCAAAAAUCAAUUCUAUUCCAAUCCUAGAAAAGAUUAUCAUAUGAUCUUAUUCAAGCCCCAACUUGCCUUAUGUUGUGUGCAAACUCCAACCAUCAAACACUCAAGGUUUCAAUGUCAAUCUUAGCCCAAAUAAUAAGUAUAUUUGUAUCCUUAUAUGAUGCUUAAAUUCAGCCUCCAAAUCAGUCCAAGCACAAUCCAUGAUCUUACAUGUCCACACAACAAAUAACAUUUGAUUUAUUUUGGGUAAUCCAUUAAUCUAAGAGGGCAAGCACAUGGAUGGAAAGCUGCAGGGGACAUUGUUACAUUAUUUUGGGUCAAAAAGAAGAAAGAGACAGCUCAUAAAGGAGGAAGAAAAACGUGCACCAAAGUGUUCUCCAAGCUGGCCUGAUUUGAUUUUCCAGAACACCUUUCGGUGUUGUGCCCAUAACUUACUCAGAUGUCUAAAUGAGCUGUUCUUUAAUGAUCUGGAAAGCUAACAUAAUGACCUAUAAAUAUGUAUCUAAUAGCUAUCUCCAAAAAAGGCUUCUAAGAGGGUCAAAUUGCUGUCCAAAGUUAGCGUCAUAUUUGUGUUAGAAUUUUUACCGAAAUUGUGUUGUGUUCUUCUUUAUAGAUUUCAGUUCUUUAGUUUGUAAAACUUAUUAUUUCAGUUUGAUUCAAGUUAUUUCAUGUUUAUUAAAGUGUUCUUAUAUAUAAUCAUGGUUGGCUAAUCUCUUUUUUAGAUCCAAAUCAAGGAUGAUGGUGAUUGAGGUGAGUUCUUUAAUAUAUGAAUGAAUCUUAAUGUUUAUCUUCUCAUUUUCUUCAUGAAUGUUUUAUUAUUGCAAAGAAAUUUUAGAAAUCAUUUAGGUAAUGUUAUAAUCUUGAAUUUUUAUACCCAAACCUUAGUUUUGGUAUAGAGAUUGUUUGAUUCAAUGUCUUACUUAAUAUGAAAGUACUCGUUCAUUCUUAAGCAAUAAUCAAUCUUCAUCUUUUUAAACUUCAUUGUAAUAUCUUCCGACCUAAUAUCAACUUUAAAAAAUGAAGAUUUAUUAUUGCUUAAGAAUGAAUGAGUACAUUUCCAUUUUACAUAUGUAUUUAUUGUUUUUAUUUGGGUUUUUUAUAAUAAUUGAUGUGCUUUUUAGUAAUGAAGUUUCUUUUAAUGUAUCGAUAGGUUGUUGGAGCUUAAAUGAAUUAUUUCAGAAAAUUUAACGUCAGAAUUCGGAACAAAGAAUUGAAGAGAAAUUUAGUUGAAGAUUGAAGCAAAUCUUGGUUCAAAUAAGUGCUCCAAAUUUGCUCCAAAAAUCAAUUCUAUUCCAAUCCUAGAAAAGAUUAUCAUAUGAUCUAUUUCCAUUCUUCAUUCUUAAGCAAUAAUCAAUCUUCAUCUUUUUAAGUUGAUA
rnacentral:lncRNA from 1 species